UGGGGGAUAUUGCACAAUGGGCGAAAGCCUGAUGCAGCGACGCCGCGUGGGGGAUGAAGGCUCUCGGGUUGUAAACCUCUUUCGCUAUCGAACAAGGCCCGCUUAGGGUGGGUUGAGGGUAGGUGGAGAAGAAGCGCCGGCUAACUACGUGCCAGCAGCCGCGGUAAUACGUAGGGCGCGAGCGUUGUCCGGAAUUAUUGGGCGUAAAGGGCUUGUAGGCGGCUUGUUGCGCCUGCUGUGAAAACGCGGGGCUUAACUUCGCGCGUGCAGUGGGUACGGGCAGGCUUGAGUGUGGUAGGGGUGACUGGAAUUCCAGGUGUAGCGGUGGAAUGCGCAGAUAUCUGGAGGAACACCGAUGGCGAAGGCAGGUCACUGGGCCAUUACUGACGCUGAGGAGCGAAAGCAUGGGUAGCGAACAGG
rnacentral:rRNA from 1 species